GGCAUCGUGGCCUAAUGGUAAGGCGUUGCUUUCCGGAGUGGAUCUGGCAAAGAUCGCGGGUUCGAAUCCCGUCGGUGUCG